GCUUAUGUAGCUUAUUAACCAAAGCAAAGCACUGAAAAUGCUUAGAUGGAUAUAAAUAUCCCAUAAACA
rnacentral:tRNA from 1 species